GUAAUGCUUAGGAAUCUGCCUAUUAGUGGGGGACAACAUCUCGAAAGGGACGCUAAUACCGCAUACGUCCUACGGGAGAAAGCAGGGGACCUUCGGGCCUUGCGCUAAUAGAUGAGCCUAAGUCGGAUUAGCUAGUUGGUGGGGUAAAGGCCUACCAAGGCGACGAUCUGUAGCGGGUCUGAGAGGAUGAUCCGCCACACUGGGACUGAGACACGGCCCAGACUCCUACGGGAGACAGCAGUGGGGAAUAUUGGACAAUGGGGGGAACCCUGAUCCAGCCAUGCCGCGUGUGUGAAGAAGGCCUUUUGGUUGUAAAGCACUUUAAGCGAGGAGGAGGCUACCGAGAUUAAUACUCUUGGAUAGUGGACGUUACUCGCAGAAUAAGCACCGGCUAACUCUGUGCCAGCAGCCGCGGUAAUACAGAGGGUGCAAGCGUUAAUCGGAUUUACUGGGCGUAAAGCGCGCGUAGGUGGCCAAUUAAGUCAAAUGUGAAAUCCCCGAGCUUAACUUGGGAAUUGCAUUCGAUACUGGUUGGCUAGAGUAUGGGAGAGGAUGGUAGAAUUCCAGGUGUAGCGGUGAAAUGCGUAGAGAUCUGGAGGAAUACCGAUGGCGAAGGCAGCCAUCUGGCCUAAUACUGACACUGAGGUG
rnacentral:rRNA from 1 species